UGUUCCUUUGUUUUUUAGUGUUACACUUUUGAGUGUAAGUGUAAGAAAUUCUAUGGACAUUUGAGUGUAAAAUGACAGCGGAUGUGACAGCGGCUCAUGACAGCGGACAGUAUUAAACGAAAAUUAUCGGUGUGCCAAUCAAGCAAAGGAACAAGGAACUUCCGAAUAUGGCCUAACUGGGGGCACAUAACAUAACCUAAUCCUAAUAUUUACAUUUGUAAAGAAUAUCCUGUUUGUUUUUAUUGUCGAUUGUGCAGCGAAAUUGUGAUAGCAAAUCAAAUAUAAAGUAGUUUAUCGCCUACAGAACUGAAUUAGUCCAUAGCAUAGCAGUUAUCAGUUUUUCUUUCUUGGGAAGCUUAUACAUGUAACUUUUAUUGUUGUAAAUUGUGGGAGUAGGGCAGACAGGGAAAAGUCUUAUUUUGUACUGUUCCCAAGGCUCCCCAUGCAAUACAUUUAAAUGAAUUAUCCAAACAAAGCCGGGGACAAUGGAUAAAAGCCACAAGAAGAACAGAUAUAAGGGAACUAAAAUUAAAAUAUGAAAAGUAAACAUUUUAUAAGUGGAACAACCACCAGAUAUUUAAAAGGUAUAAAAAGAAGAAACUGCUGGAAUUUCAAAACAAAUGUGUUUGACUAGUAAAGAUUUGGAUAAAUAACAGGAGUUACUUUGGGCUAUAGCUACGUGCAGAUUUAUUUCCUUGUGGCUUCCUAUGUUAAUUCUUAUUAAUUAUACACUUAAAUAUGUUUUUAGUCUCAGGAAGAUUUUAUAUUUGAUUAUUUUUGAAUAAACAUUAUUAUUAUUAUUACCUUAAUUUCCAUUAAAUAAAUUUACUGUAAUCAAUAAAGUAAUCGUUUAAUUGUUAAUAAAUUAUCAAGUAUGAUUCCCAAA